CGGGGACUAGCUCAGUUGGUAGAGCGCAGCGUUCGGGACGCUGAGGUCGGGAGUUCGAGUCUCCCGUCUCCGA
rnacentral:tRNA from 1 species